GUCAAUUUAGGCAAAGCGGAUGGCAGCAGAGAUUAGCAAAGGAGAACAGACACAGAAUUAUGGACCAGAAUUUAUAUUCAGAAAAUGAAGAAAAACAGACUGCCUUUGGUGACUAAUGUGAGAUACAGUUGAGCUGUACAAGAAAGAGAAUAUUUCAUCACUCAUCUUUUUCCUGGUAUAAUUUUGGUAGCUAUUUUCCUAAAUGGGUUCAUCUUUUCUGCAGGUUCCAGCUCAUUUUCAGAGGAACAGCCAAGUACUCCACAUGGUCAGCACUGACACAACUCAGUUUUAUAUACACAGCCACCACUCAUGUGAGAAAGAGCUCACAUAUUUGGGGAUAUACUAGGACCAUGGAGAGUGCUUCCAUUAGCCCUGAGGGGCAUCCCUCCAGGCCCUGCGUGUGGCAGAAAGCAUUUAAAGUAAAUAUGUAUUUGCAAAGAAAAAGUCAUAUGUAUGUGUAUGUGUAUGUAUGUGUACAUGCAUGUGCAUGUUGAAGCUGAAGCUGCUAAGCUGAAGACUAGAUGAAUGUGCAAGUGAUUUAUGUGUGAAAUUCCCCUCAAGGAAAUGUUUUAUUUUUCUGGUUCUGUAUACAUUCCACACUUCUUGUAAGUUGUUCUUUGUCUGCAAUGAAAAACGGUUUGCUUAAGGAGAUUUUGAUGGACAUGUCAGUUUGUAUGGAUUUUUUGAAGUGGUAUCCUGAAAUAGGACUUUUAAAUCUUUUGAUAGCAGAAAAAUAACUGAGUCCUCCUCUCCUCACACUGCAUAGAAACACCUUGCCAGCCAUUUACCUUUUCUUGUAUCGCUUACAUCUCUCAUGUUUCUUGUAGCAACAGCAGCAAUUGCACACAGACACAAUUUUGCAGAAAGUGUAAUGUGUUUUUAUCUGGCAGCUACACUUGGCAGGCCUCUCUUAAGAGCCUUAGUAACUCUGUACAUCCC
rnacentral:lncRNA from 1 species